AAAACCUUAAGUUAAAUAAACUAAGGGCUUUCCAAGCCCUCAAUAGAGAAGUCUAGGUUUUA
rnacentral:tRNA from 1 species